rnacentral:rRNA from 1 species
AAACUAACAAGGAUUCCCCUAGUAACGGCGAGUGAAGCGGGAAGAGCUCAAAUUUGUAAUCUGGCACCUUCGGUGUCCGAGUUGUAAUCUCGAGAAGUGUUUUCCGCGCCAGACCGCAUACAAGUCUGUUGGAAUACAGCGUCAUAGUGGUGAGAACCCCGUAACUGAUGCGGAUGCCUGGUGCUCUGUGAUACACUUUCGAAGAGUCGAGUUGUUUGGGAAUGCAGCUCAAAUUGGGUGGUAAAUUCCAUCUAAAGCUAAAUAUUGGCGAGAGACCGAUAGCGAACAAGUACCGUGAGGGAAAGAUGAAAAGCACUUUGGAAAGAGAGUUAACAGUACGUGAAAUUGUUGGAAGGGAAACGCUUGAAGUCAGACUUGCUAUUUGGAAUUCAGCCGCAAGGUGUACUUUUCAAUUUGCAGGCCAGCAUCAGUUUUUGGGGAUGGAAAAGGAUUAGGAGAAGGUAGCAGUUUCGGCUGUGUUAUAGCUCUUAAUUGGAUUCAUCCCUGGGGACUGAGGAACGCAGCUUCGGCUUAGGAUGCUGGUGGAAUGGCUUUAAACGA